CACAGUGGCUGGCGAGGGAUUGCUCCUAAGAGAAGCAAACGGCGGCAGAAGCAGCUAACCCGCAAAAUCACCAUUUGGACGUUGAACUCCAAUUUCGAGUGGGAGGUGCAUUGUGAGAUCAACCUGGAUUGUCUCUGGGCACAACCUCGUUACCAAGGUCUGGGCUUACCUCGGCGUCUUCCUGAGUUCCCAGUCAUCAGCAUGGAUGACCCGGGUGUUCUGUGCUGCCUGCUGAGGGCGAAGGAAUUUGAUGGCAAGGAGUGGAUGAUCAUGGUUGACAUGAACCAUGCGGAUCUGCAGUCAUGUACUGAUGUGAAUGUAGAAGACAAGUUCUCUAAUACCACCCAACUUUCAACUGUCUUCUCCAAAUACCUUCAAAAGGCGAACAGGGAUGGCAUGGGACAACAUUGAGCUAACUUCAUUGAAAUGCAAGUCUGCAAUAUGAAGACCUGUAAUCUGGUGACUGAAGGUGAACACUUUGCGGAUGCUCAAAUCAAAGAUGUUGUUUGUCAAUGACGCGGUGCAGGCAGAACAGUUUGAUGAUGUACUGAUGAAUAUCUAUUGGAGUAACGCUACAUGUUCUGGAUCAUUUAAUCAUAUGUUUUAGCGUUAAAAGUAUGAGAUUGAAUAUCUUUUCUUUCAUGAAAAUUGAAUUGAGGGCAAGCACAAGGAAAAAAAAUAGUGCUAGACAUUAUUUUUGGUUUUCUUAUCGAGGCCGAAAUGUCUUAAUUACAGAGAUCUUCCAAUAUUUUUCUAUUGGGGGUUCUUCCAUUCCUUUUUUUUGAGGAAUUAUGACAGUGAGGGAAGCUCCCCACUGACCUUUAUA